CCUACGGGAGGCAGCAGUAGGGAAUCUUCCGCAAUGGACGAAAGUCUGACGGAGCAACGCCGCGUGAGCGAAGAAGGUCUUCGGAUUGUAAAGCUCUGUUGUUAGGGAAGAACAAGUGCUGUUCGAAGAGGGCGGCACCGUGACGGUACCUAACGAGAAAGCCACGGCUAACUACGUGCCAGCAGCCGCGGUAAUACGUAGGUGGCAAGCGUUGUCCGGAAUUAUUGGGCGUAAAGCGCGCGCAGGCGGUUCCUUAAGUCUGAUGUGAAAGCCCACGGCUCAACCGUGGAGGGUCAUUGGAAACUGGGGGACUUGAGUGCAGAAGAGGAGAGCGGAAUUCCACGUGUAGCGGUGAAAUGCGUAGAGAUGUGGAGGAACACCAGUGGCGAAGGCGGCUCUCUGGUCUGUAACUGACGCUGAAGCGCGAAAGCGUUGGGAGCAAACAGGAUUAGAUUCCCUGGUUAUCCACCCGUAAACGAUUGAGUGCUAAGUGUUAAAAGGGUUAUACCCUUUUAGUGCUUGUACUAACGCAUUAAGCACUCCGCCUGGGGAGUUCCCUCCCCAGAGUGAAACUCAAAGGAAUUGACGG
rnacentral:rRNA from 1 species